GGCAAGGUGGCUUGGCAGGUAAAGGCUCUUGCCAUGAAAGGUUGACGGCCUUCGAGCGGAGUUCAAUCCCCGGAACCGCCAUGAAAAUGGAUAGAGUUGACUCCACAAAGCCGUCCUCUGACCCCUGCAGCGGCUUCACCACACACAUUGUUUCUGGAGAAGUGGUGUGCACACUUAGGUGCUAGAGGCAGGAGGAUUGCCCCAAGUUUGAGGCCACCCUGGCCUGCACAAUGAGUUCCAGGCUAGCCAGAGACACUGGCUCCAAAUAAACAAACAAGUGAACAAAGAAACAAAACUCAACACGGGCCCACUGAGGAGGAUCAGCAGUAUAGCUGACUUCCCAUCCGUCUGAUGACAGAAGGACAACAACAGUGCAUUCUGUGCUUGGAUCCCGCACACAUUUGGUUUUCCAUGGCCUCCCUCAAAGGCUAGGACCUACCAUCUUGGCUGGAAGAUAGAGUCUCACAAUACGGCUCGGGCUGGCCCAGAACUCUCUAUGUAAACCAGACCAGCUGGCCUCAAGUUCACAGAAGUGUCUCCAUCUCGAAGUGCUGGGAUUAAAGGUAUGCACC
ensembl:lincRNA Gm16079 predicted gene 16079